UGUUACUGAGGCUGUUACGAUUGUUGUUUUUUGUGAUAAUGAUUUUCUUAUUGUUAAUCAAGCAUUUUCUUAUUUUUUUACGUUGGUUUACAUGCGAGUUUGAGCAUAAGGACACGACAAAGAUAAUAUUGAUGAAUAUCAGCUCGGUUGGUGAAAUGAUUGUGUGAUAAUUUUAAGACCAAAUUUUGGUCGUAUGCACGUUUCAUGAAUGAUGGCCAUUGUCUGUGAAACAGACUGGCAGAGGCAUGUGACUCAUGUCAAGAAGAGACAGUGAGUGUCGGUUUGGUCAAAAAUGCUACAACUCCACCUGUAAACUGAAGGUUCCUAACACGCUCCAAUUUGUUGGAGGCAAUCUGUGAAGGUGAAAGUGUUACAUGAUUUCAUAGUUGAUUUAACCUGUCUCUUUGAGGUCCCACCGUUAGUUAGUCCAGUUCUUGACAGAAAUGACCGCGUGAAGACAAAGAACAUCCAAAGCGAAGCCAGAAUAAGGUUCUUCAAAAGCGCCAUUCAGGGGUUGAAAAUAAGAAAUUUACCAAGGUAUUGAAUAACAUAUUAAUGGUAUUAAGAAACAGAGAGAAUAUGGCACAAUUGUGAUUUGGUGUAGAACAGGCUGUCCUCAAACACUAAUUAUCAGGAUGAGAAGGGCACUAGUCAGCAGGCAUUCCCUGCCUGAGCUGGAAGGCACCCAGAGUCUUCCCUGCCUGAGCUGGGAGGUACCAAGAGUCUUCCCUGCCUGAGCUGGAAGGCACCCACAGUCUUCCCUGCCUGAGCUGGGAGGCACUGUGCAGACAGAAACAAUAGGCCGGGGGCUUCACAAAAGUCGCCUCUGUGGGAAAGUGGCGGUAAGAAAGCCAUUAUUGAAAAUAAUACAUAAAAUCUCUGAUAAUGGUUCUAUGUUUCGAUGAGACCAAAACAAAGCUGUAAGGCCUCAACACAAGCCUAACAGUGCACAUCACCAUAAGAACACCAUCCCUGCCGUGAAGCAUACCGGUGGCUGCAUCAUGCUAUGGGGAUGCUUCUCUGCGUCAAGGCCUUGAAAGCUUGUAAAGAUAGAGGACAAAGUGUAUGUAGAAAAGUACAGAGAAAUCCUGAAAGAAAAAUCUGCAAGAGACAUGGGGCUUGGAAGAAGAUUAUUCUUCCAGCUGGGCAAUGACCCCAAACACACAGCCAAAGCCACACUGGAGUGGCUUUAAAACAGACAAGUUAAAGGUCCUGGAGGGGCCCAGUCAAAGCCCAGACCUGAAUCCAAUUGAGAAUAUGUGGAUAUAGUCUAACAUUGCUGUUCACCAAAGGUCCCCAUCCAACUUGCAGGAUCCACAUACAGAGUCUCUUGCAGUGUCCCAUGGAUCUGCUGUCUUGUGUCCUAUGGAUCUACUGUCUUGUGUCCCAUGGAUCUGCUGUCUUGUGUCCCAUGGAUCUGCUGUCUUGUGUCCCAUGGAUCUGCUGUGCAGUGUCCCAUGGAUCUGCUGUCUUGUGUCCCAUCGAUCGGCUGUAUUGUGUCCCACGGAUCUGCUGUCUUGUGUCCCAUGGAUCUGCUGUCCAGUGUCCCAUGGAUCUGCUGUCCAGUGUUCCAUGGAUCUGCUGUCCAGUGUCCCAUCGAUCUGCUGUCUUGUGUCCCAUCGAUCUGCUGUCUUGUGUCCCAUGGAUCUGCUGUCCAGUGUCCCAUGGAUCUGCUGUCCAGUGUCCCAUGGAUCUGCUGUCCAGUGUCCCAUGGAUCUGCUGUCCAGUGUUCCAUGGAUCUGCUGUCUUGUGUCCCAUGGAUCUGCUGUCCUGUGGUCCCAUCGAUGGACAGAGACGAGAGACCUAAACCAACUCAUCACAGGACCAGGCUUCACAGGGACCUGACUCCUGGGGGGAAAGACUCCCAACAAACAGUAGAAUAGAAUCAGAAGGCAGAUAAUUAGGUACAGCCAUCUAGUACUGGGCUGGGGUCACUGUUCAUUUGGAGUCAUUUGCAGCAUGUUGAAUACAGCCCAUUUCAUCUUAUCCCAAAGCUUUUAUCAAAACUCUGUAAAGUUAAUAAAUUUAACUGCUGAUUUAAAAGAAAUAAAAGACUUUGUGAAAGA